rnacentral:rRNA from 1 species
AACGAACGCUGGCGGCAUGCCUAACACAUGCAAGUCGAACGACACCUUCGGGUCUAGUGGCGCACGGGUGCGUAACGCGUGGGAACCUUCCCUUAGGUUCGGAAUAACUCUCCGACAGGGGUGCUAAUACCGGAUAAUGUCUUCGGACCAAAGAUUUAUCGCCCUUGGAUGGGCCCGCGUUGGAUUCGCUUGUUGGUAGUGUAAAAGCCUACCAAGGCGAAGAUCCAUAGCUGGUCUGAGAGGAAGGUCAGCCACACUGGGACUAAGAAGCGGUCCAGACUCUUACGGGAGGGAGGAAUGGGGAAUAUAGGAAAACGGGGGAAAGGAUGAACCAGCAAGGCCGGGAGAGUGAUGUAGGCCUGAGAGAUGUAAAGCUCUUUUACCCGGGAUGGUAAUGACGGUACCGGAAGAAUAAGCUCCGGCUAACUCCGUG